CCUACGGGUGGCAGCAGUGGGGAAUAUUGGACAAUGGGCGAAAGCCUGAUCCAGCCACGCCGCGUGAGUGAUGAAGGCCUUCGGGUCGUAAAGCUCUGUGGGGAGGGACGAACGUUCCGGCGAAGAGCCGGAGGUGACGGUACCUCCUUAGCAAGCACCGGCUAACUUCGUGCCAGCAGCCGCGGUAAUACGAAGGGUGCAAACGUUGCUCGGAAUCAUUGGGCGUAAAGCGCACGUAGGCGGCUUCGCAAGUCGGAUGUGAAAUCCCUCGGCUCAACCGAGGACGUGCAUCCGAAACUGCGAGGCUUGAGUACUGAAGAGGAUCGCGGAAUUCCCGGUGUAGAGGUGAAAUUCGUAGAUAUCGGGAGGAACACCAGUGGCGAAGGCGGCGAUCUGGGCAGAUACUGACGCUGAGGUGCGAAAGCGUGGGGAGCAAACAGGAUUAGAUACCCUAGUAGUC
rnacentral:rRNA from 1 species